AUUGAACGCUGGCGGAGUGCUUUACACAUGCAAGUCGAGCGGCAGCGCGGGGCAACCUGGCGGCGAGCGGCGAACGGGUGAGUAAUACAUCGGAACGUGCCCAGACGUGGGGGAUAACUACUCGAAAGAGUGGCUAAUACCGCAUACGAUCUACGGAUGAAAGCGGGGGAUCGCAAGACCUCGCGCGUCUGGAGCGGCUGAUGUCGGAUUAGCUAGUAGGUGAGGUAAAGGCUCACCUAGGCGACGAUCCGUAGCGGGUCUGAGAGGAUGAUCCGCCACACUGGGACUGAGACACGGCCCAGACUCCUACGGGAGGCAGCAGUGGGGGAAUUUUGGACAAUGGGGGCAACCCUGAUCCAGCCAUGCCGCGUGAGUGAAGAA
rnacentral:rRNA from 1 species